rnacentral:rRNA from 1 species
UACAGAGGUCUCAAGCGUUUGUUCGGGAUUCAUUGGGCGUAAAGGGGUGUGUAGGUGGGCGCGCUAAGUCGGGGUGUGAAAAUUUCGGGAGCUUAACUCCCGAAAACUGCAUUCGAUACUGGCGUGCUUGAGGACUGGAGAGGAGACUGGAAUUUACGGUGUAGCAGUGAAAUGCGUAGAGAUGUGGAGGAACACCGAUGGCGGAAGGCAGCCUCCUGGGCCAACACUGACGCUCAUGCACGAAAGCGUGGGGAGCAAACAGG